rnacentral:rRNA from 1 species
UACGAAGGGGGCUAGCGUUGUUCGGAAUUACUGGGCGUAAAGCGCACGUAGGCGGACAUUUAAGUCAGGGGUGAAAUCCCAGAGCUCAACUCUGGAACUGCCUUUGAUACUGGGUGUCUUGAGUAUGGAAGAGGUGAGUGGAAUUCCGAGUGUAGAGGUGAAAUUCGUAGAUAUUCGGAGGAACACCAGUGGCGAAGGCGGCUCACUGGCUCGGUACUGACGCUGAGGUGCGAAAGCGUGGGGAGCAAACAGG